AGUCUCUUAUGACUCAGUGAAGUUUCAAAAUGAAUACGUGGUGAACAAAGAUGCAACUGAUUUUAAUAAUGACAGACAUGGUA